UACGAAGGGGGCUAGCGUUACUCGGAAUUACUGGGCGUAAAGGGCGCGUAGGCGGCGCUCCAAGUUAGGCGUGAAAGUCCUGGGCUCAACCUGGGAACUGCGCUUGAUACUGGAGUGCUUGAGGAUGGAAGAGGGUCGUGGAAUUCCCAGUGUAGAGGUGAAAUUCGUAGAUAUUGGGAAGAACACCGGUGGCGAAGGCGGCGACCUGGUCCAUUACUGACGCUGAGGCGCGACAGCGUGGGGGAGCGAACAGG
rnacentral:rRNA from 1 species